ACGAACGCUGGCGGCGUGCUUAACACAUGCAAGUCGAACGGAAAGGCCCUGCUUUUGUGGGGUGCUCGAGUGGCGAACGGGUGAGUAACACGUGAGUAACCUGCCCUUGACUUUGGGAUAACUUCAGGAAACUGGGGCUAAUACCGGAUAGGAGCUCCUGCUGCAUGGUGGGGGUUGGAAAGUUUCGGCGGUUGGGGAUGGACUCGCGGCUUAUCAGCUUGUUGGUGGGGUAGUGGCUUACCAAGGCUUGGACGGGUAGCCGGCCUGAGAGGGUGACCGGCCACAUUGGGACUGAGAUACGGCCCAGACUCCUACGGGAGGCAGAAGUGGGGAAUAUUGCACAAUGGGCGGAAGCCUGAUGCAGCAACGCCGCGUGCGGGAUGACGGCCUUCGGGUUGUAAACCGCUUUCGCCUGUGACGAAGCGUGAGUGACGGUAAUGGGUAAAGAAGCACCGGCUAACUACGUG
rnacentral:rRNA from 1 species